GGAGACGCCGCAGCGCUUUUGCGUGCUUUCGUCCUCCGUCGCCGACCACAAAGUAUUCUCCAACUCUCGACUGCUUUUAUCCCGUACGCCUGACGUUAGCUGCGUUGCUACUCGCCCGUUCGCCGCUGAACCCGUUAAAAGUCAGUUCCUGGAAUUCCUGCGGUCCGGCGCAGCGGAUCUCGGCGGUUGCGUGGAACCGUAUCAGACGGCGGCCAAACGCCGGUGCACGAAUAAUCAAAUUAGCGUUCAAUUUGGAGUCGUCGCUGAAACUAACAAGAAGAGAACACGCAGAGGGCAGCUCCACACAUCGACAGUAUCAAUCAAAAUCUCUCCCGAUUAAUUGCCUGGAAAACAAAACAAAAAAUGUUAAAGAUGUUGAUCAAUCCCAGAUUAUCUUUUGAAAUAAAAACCUUUUUUUUUCA